rnacentral:rRNA from 1 species
UGCUAGUCGCACGGGUUUAGACCCGUGGCAGAUAGCUCAGUAACACGUGGCCAAACUGCCCUAUGGAUCGUGAUAACCUCGGGAAACUGAGGCUAAUCGCGAAUACAGCACCCAUGUUUGAACACAGGGUGCUAGAAACGCUCCGGCGCCAUAGGAUGUGGCUGCGGCCGAUUAGGUAGACGGUGGGGUAAUGGCCCACCGUGCCGAUAAUCGGUAUGGGUUGUGAGAGCAAGAACCCAGAGACGGUAUCUGAGACAAGAUACCGGGCCCUACGGGGCGCAGCAUGCGCGAAACCUUUACACUGCACGACAGUGCGAUAGGGGGACUCCGAGUGCGAGGGCAUAUAGUCCUCGCUUUUCUGUACCGUAAGGUGGUACAGGAACAAGUGCUGGGCAAGACCGGUGCCAGCCGCCGCGGUAAUACCGGCAGCACCAGUGAUGGCCGCUUUUAUUGGGCCUAAAGCGUUCGUAGCCAGGCCACUCAAGUUCGUCGGGAAAUCUGCCCGCUUAACGGGCAGGCGUCCGGCGAAAACUGAGUGGCUUGGGGCCGGGAGAUCCAAGGGGUACGUCCGGGGUAGGAGUGAAAUCCUGUAAUCCUGGACGGACCACCGAUGGCGAAAGCACCUUGGAAAAACGGACCCGACGGUGAGGAACGAAAGCUAGGGUCUCGAACCGGAUUAGAUACCCGGGUAGUCCUAGCUGUAAACGAUGCUCGCUAGGCGUGGCGCAGGCUACCAGCCUGCGCUGUGCC